AUACGGAGGGUGCAAGCGUUACUCGGAAUCACUGGGCGUAAAGCGCGCGCAGGCGGCUUGAUAAGUUGGAUGUGAAAGCCUACGGCUCAACCGUAGAACUGCAUCCAAAACUGUCAGGCUAGAGUGUGGGAGAGGAGGAUGGAAUUAGUUGUGUAGGGGUAAAAUCCGUAGAGAUAACUAGGAAUACCAAAAGCGAAGGCAAUCUUCUGGAACACUACUGACGCUGAGGCGCGAAGGCGUGGGGAGCAAACAGGAUUAGAAACCCCAGUAGUCC
rnacentral:rRNA from 1 species